rnacentral:lncRNA from 1 species
ACCUUUCCUUGCAAAGUAUUCUAAUUCAGUUUUCCCAACUCCACAUUGAAACAAAUAAAUACAUACCUGAGAAGUUAGCUACGUGAGUACAUUCAUCCAUUACUCCUUUCAUAAACCUUAAUGAUUCUCUCUGCAAAGUGUCACUCUUUGUUCUAUUAUUUAUCCUGUGUCCCUGUUGGAUGGUUAAGUUUUUAUUGCUACUGGUUGAAAACGUUUGAUUUAUGCACUGAAUUUUAGGAGCAUCUUGCAUUAAGAGUCUUUCCGAUGAGGCACUUAGAGUACUUCUACUUGUGGCAAAGCUGUGGACAGCUUCUUUAGACUCAGUCUUGUUUGAUGAAUCAAAGUUGAACAUUCUUGAAGUCACAUCUAUGUCCUCCAAACUAUCCACAUUGUCAGGGAAGUUUUUAACAAAAUCUUGUCCCAUCUUGAAAGAAUCUGUUCCACAGUAUUCAAGCAUUUGAAUGAUUUCUUCUUCGUAAACAGUUUGUGUAUAAUACUGUUUCUCAAGCUCUCUCCAGUUCACUGCUUUACUCAAC